CAGAAGAGAGGACCCCCAAGGAGAGGCUGCUCCCCAGGUCCCCUUGUGGUGCUCUUAGUGCCCCUGCCAGGGGGACCUUUCUCUUCCUGGAGUUCUUCAAAACAGCUUCCUGGGCAUCUCCGGUGCUAAUCUUGCGUGUUAAAUUUAAGGGAAUUUCCUCAGGACAAGGAUCCUUGGGUGGCCUGCAGACAUUUCUUUCUUAGAGAGGAAGAGAUUCUCGAAAUGCAAGGGUUGCCUAACAAGAGGGUGGAAAGAAGCAGAAAUGCAGGGAGUAAACCUUGUCAUCAGCUGCAUUGUCUCGAUUGGGAUGGCUGCUGGAAAUCAUUCUGUAGAUAACUGAAAUCAUCCUUCACCUCGGCUGUAUUUUCUGCCUCACUAAAGGAAAUGGUGGCUGUCUUAAACUUUUUCUUUCUAAUCUCAAACUGCAACUACUUAAUUUAGAGAGCUUUUUCCUCGGGUUUUGCUCUAUGUGGUAAAAUGGAAAAACAGAGCAUGCUGCAAGCACAGCAUAAAAAAAAUGGGAUUGCUUAAUACUUUAAGGAUUUUAAAGAGUUUCAUAUGCUGGCUCUGCAACACUACUAUCUUCCUCAUUCACCACAACAUGUAGUGACCAUGUAGCAAUGAACUACGGGACCUAAUUCUGCUUUGCAUUUUCCACUAAACAAACUUUCUCAUUUCA